UCCGAUAUUGAUACUUUGACAUCAGUGAAGUCGGUCAGCAAUAAACAAGUGUUUUAUUAUCAAAUAUAUUUCACAGUAUGGACAGUAAUGUUUUCAUAUAACUUGCCUAUUUGAAGUGUAGCCUAAUACACAUACAGAGGCGCGCGCGCGCGCAAACACACACACACACACACAGCUAUCCUAAAAGAUUGUCAAAGAGAUUUACACUUGUCUCUGCCCGAACAGACAACCUCUCAGGCCAUAAGAGUGGAGAGCUGGAGCCAGGGUGUCUGGACCCCGUGAGCCACUUCCAAAUCCGGAUUAAAAAACGCGAUAAAAAUGUAGAGUAAAACGCACAAAAAAACAACGAUACUCUCGCGAUAAACGGCUCGAGGCUAACCACAGCAACAGCAGCAGCAACAACAACAACAACAACAACACAAACAGAGAUAGUGUAUAAAAGUGCACCGGCAAGCUCCGUUACUCUCGCGCGCAGCUCGCGCUCCUCCGGUCCUGAACGAGGUGCGUCCCCGCCCUGCGCUACACAAACAAAACCCCGUCGUGUUUUCUGUCUCUGAAGCUUUUCUGUGUGUCUUUUGGGUUUUUCUGUCACGGCUGUGAGAUGAGCAGGACUCCGAGCUGUCACGGGUCAGAGGAGAGAAACUCCGCGCUGACACAGCACAACUUCUCUCCACGCCUUUUAAUCUGAGUGGAAAGUUCUAGUGUGACAGAAGGGAAGUAUUUCAUCUCAGAGAGAACACUGUGGAAUUACAAGAGCAGACUUUGGAGAACAAAAAGAUUUUUUUUUCUCUCAUACUCGAAAAAAGAGGCCUGUCGCUGAUUGACAAUACCCAGGUCCACUGCUUCCACUAAAAACAUUAGGAAGAAAGGAGGGAGAAAAAAACACCAAAUGAGAUUUGUUGUCGAAUCCGGCGAGGGACAUCAAUGCUAAAUUAAUUUCUGCUCGUUGGAUUUGGAAGACAUUGUGUUCAGGCCAGUCCCGAGAGAAGAUACAAGCUUAUCAAGAAGGUCUGGAGAAUACUGAUGCUUUGAUGAAUCUUAGUGCUUUUCUGAAUCUUCCCAGUAGUACAUACAGGAUCCAUGUUUCACUGACGUGCAAAGGAGGUAAGCUCUUCCAAACUAAUCCUGUGAAAAUCCAUACUUUCUCCAUGCAUCCCAAAACACUUGGUUUAUCCCUCUCAUGAUCACAGUCAUGGCACAGCAGCAAACAAGCCCUUUCGAAUUUACUGCUUCUUUGUAGAGGACCAUGUCUGUGUCAGGAGGUUACAUAAACCACAUGGUUGGUGUGCCCAGAAACAUGAGCCAGACAUCAUUCUUUGGAGCCUGUCCCAUCGGAUGAGGGGAGGGGAUGGGUGCAAGUUAUGGACAUAUAACUUUGCCAUUUGUUGGGCCCAUCUGUGUGUCUGCUGUAUGACUUGCUGCAUGAAAUAUUCAAGGUCCAGUGAAAAGUGAUCUGAUGGUUGGUGUCAAGACUCCCCCUCCUUCUUCUGGUUGUCUAUACCAGAAACUAACCCUUACCAACUGCGGAAAAAAAAAAAAAAAAAAGCAAACAAAAAAAAAAAUAGGCAGGUGACACCUUCUAGCAGUGCUCCAGCUUCCAUGUCCCAAUUUCAUACACCUUUCUUG